rnacentral:rRNA from 1 species
AUUGAACGCUGGCGGCAGGCCUAACACAUGCCAGUCGAGCGGAUGAAGGGAGCUUGCUCCUGGAUUCAGCGGCGGACGGGUGAGUAAUGCCUAGGAAUCUGCCUGGUAGUGGGGGAUAACGUCCGGAAACGGGCGCUAAUACCGCAUACGUCCUGAGGGAGAAAGUGGGGGAUCUUCGGACCUCACGCUAUCAGAUGAGCCUAGGUCGGAUUAGCUAGUUGGUGGGGUAAAGGCCUACCAAGGCGACGAUCCGUAACUGGUCUGAGAGGAUGAUCAGUCACACUGGAACUGAGACACGGUACAGACUCCUACGGGAGGCAGCAGUGGGGAAUAUUGGACAAUGGGCGAAAGCCUGAUCCAGCCAUGCCGCGUGUGUGAAGAAGGUCUUCGGAUUGUAAAGCACUUUAAGUUGGGAGGAAGGGCAGUAAGUUAAUACCUUGCUGUUUUGACGUUACCAACAGAAUAAGCACCGGCUAACUUCGUG